CCUACGGGAGGCAGCAGUGGGGAAUAUUGGACAAUGGGCGAAAGCCUGAUCCAGCCAUGCCGCGUGUGUGAAGAAGGCCUUCGGGUUGUAAAGCACUUUCAGUGGGGAAGAAAGCCUUGGGGCUAAUACCCUCGAGGAAGGACAUCACCCACAGAAGAAGCACCGGCUAACUCCGUGCCAGCAGCCGCGGUAAUACGGAGGGUGCGAGCGUUAAUCGGAAUUACUGGGCGUAAAGCGCGCGUAGGCGGUCUGAUAAGCCGGUUGUGAAAGCCCCGGGCUCAACCUGGGAACGGCAUCCGGAACUGUCAGGCUAGAGUGCAGGAGAGGAAGGUAGAAUUCCCGGUGUAGCGGUGAAAUGCGUAGAGAUCGGGAGGAAUACCAGUGGCGAAGGCGGCCUUCUGGACUGACACUGACGCUGAGGUGCGAAAGCGUGGGUAGCAGACAGGAUUAGAUACCCUGGUAGUC
rnacentral:rRNA from 1 species